UGGGGAAUUUUGGACAAUGGGCGAAAGCCUGAUCCAGCAAUGCCGCGUGUGUGAAGAAGGCCUUCGGGUUGUAAAGCACUUUUGUCCGGAAAGAAAUCCUUGGCUCUAAUACAGUCGGGGGAUGACGGUACCGGAAGAAUAAGCACCGGCUAACUACGUGCCAGCAGCCGCGGUAAUACGUAGGGUGCAAGCGUUAAUCGGAAUUACUGGGCGUAAAGCGUGCGCAGGCGGUUUGCUAAGACCGAUGUGAAAUCCCCGGGCUCAACCUGGGAACUGCAUUGGUGACUGGCAGGCUAGAGUAUGGCAGAGGGGGGUAGAAUUCCACGUGUAGCAGUGAAAUGCGUAGAGAUGUGGAGGAAUACCGAUGGCGAAGGCAGCCCCCUGGGCCAAAUACUGACGCUCAUGCACGAAAGCGUGGGGAGCAAACAGGAUUAGAUACCCUGGUAGUCCACGCCCUAAACGAUGUCAACUAGUUGUUGGGGAUUCAUUUCCUUAGUAACGUAGCUAACGCGUGAAGUUGACCGCCUGGGGAGUACGGUCACAAGAUUAAAACUCAAAGGAAUUGACGGGGUCAUAGCUGUUUCCU
rnacentral:rRNA from 1 species